GUCUUUGAUACAUUUUGAAUAGAUGUUGUUGAUAUCUGUCUAAUAGACACAUAUUUUUCUCAGUUUUCAAAGUCAGCCUCACUUUUCCUGAGUGUGUCUUCCACAGCACCUUGUCCCAAGAUGUACCUGGUAUUCUUAUUUGAAAUGUAAAUUCCAUGCCCCACCUCCAUUUUAGGCCUGGGAAAUUAGAAUAAGGCAGCAGGAAUCUGGAUUAGAAUGAGCUCUGAUCUAUAUUUUAGUGAGUAACGAUCAUGAAAGUCUAAGAAACACUCAGCAGGAUCCUUGUCCAAAAACCCACUAAUAAAUAAACAAAAAUUGCAACAUUUUUUUGAGGGCAUUCAUUGCAGUUGGCAAGAAUAGCAGCUGCUCUUCUCCAGAAUCCUGAUGCAUUCACACCAUUACCAAAAUGGUCUGAGGACUGAAGUCAGUGAUACAGGGAGAGUCAACUGGAGAAUCUAGCAGUGAUGGAACCCAAGGCAGUCUCACUGUGGAUCUGGAGCUAAGGGAACUCUUCGUCUCCAUCCACCGUGCACAGAAGUGCAGACGUGCAAGAAGGCAGAGCUGCGAUCCGCCUCAGCAUUGUGCUUACGGUGGGAGGGCAGACAUACCUGCUGAUAGGAAUUAAACAGGCCUUCAGUGAAGUUACUCAGGACCUCCAGAUCUCCACAAAACCUGCAGAGAGAGGGGUAUUGGAGCACCACCAGCAACACAAGGAAACUGUGUUACAUCCACUUGGUAGUCUUACUGCUAUUGGCUGUUGCGGUGGCUCUCUUCUUUAUAACAACCCCAAACAAAACGAUCUAACAACAACACAGAACCAGACCAAAGGGACCACACCAUGCCAGCUGGAUCCGCUUUCUUGGAGGUCUUCAACUUCUGGUUUCUUACUAAGAGAAUGUGUUCUUCCAGGACUCUACAAAAGAACCAUCCUUGCCAUGUAUUCAAACUAA